rnacentral:rRNA from 1 species
GACGAACGCUGGCGGCGUGCUUAACACAUGCAAGUCGAACGGAAAGGCCCUGCUUUUGUGGGGUGCUCGAGUGGCGAACGGGUGAGUAACACGUGAGUAACCUGCCCUUAACUUUGGGAUAACUUCAGGAAACUGGGGCUAAUACCGGAUAGGAGCUCCUGCUGCAUGGUGGGGGUUGGAAAGUUUCGGCGGUUGGGGAUGGACUCGCGGCUUAUCAGCUUGUUGGUGGGGUAGUGGCUUACCAAGGCUUUGACGGGUAGCCGGCCUGAGAGGGUGACCGGCCACAUUGGGACUGAGAUACGGCCCAGACUCCUACGGGAGGCAGCAGUGGGGAAUAUUGCACAAUGGGCGGAAGCCUGAUGCAGCAACGCCGCGUGCGGGAUGACGGCCUUCGGGUUGUAAACCGCUUUCGCCUGUGACGAAGCGUGAGUGACGGUAAUGGGUAAAGAAGCACCGGCUAACUACGU